rnacentral:rRNA from 1 species
UCCUAUAGGACCUAAAUAUCCUAGAAACACCAGAUCCCAUCUGCUCUUGGAAGCUAAGUAGGGUUAGUCCUGGUUAGUACUUGGGUGGGAGAUUGUCAAUGAAUGCCAGGAGCUAUAAGCU